rnacentral:rRNA from 1 species
AUGGAGUUGAUGGCCACCUCAUACUUUAAGGAGGUGUUCACAAAGGACCCGACCCUCUCCCCGGAGGCGGUCCUGGAGAGGAUAACACCAAAAGUUACACAAGAGAUGAACACAACUUUGUGUAGGCCGUUCACUGUGGAAGAGGUGUCCGAUGCGCUGUUCCAAAUUGGACCGCUAAAAGCACCAUGUACGGAUGGGUUUCCUGCUCGGUUCUAUCAGCGGAAUUGGGCUGUUAUGAAGGGGGAGAUUACAGCGGCAGUUAUGGAAUUUUUUGAUACAGGAGUCAUGCCGGAGGGUGUGAAUGAUACGGCUAUUGUACUAAUUCCGAAGGUUCGGCUUCCUAAGGAGCUCAAGGAUUUUAGUCCAAUAAGUUUGUGUAACGUGAUCUACAAGAUUGUGUCUAAGUGCUUGGUGAACCGGCUACGUCCUCUGUUGGCGGAACUAAUUUCAGAAAACCAAAGUGCUUUUAUACCCGGCUGGCUUAUCUCGGAUAACUCGAUCAUAGCUUUUGAGUGUAUCAAUCAUAUUCAGACUCUCAAGAAUAAUAAUCCAGUUGCAUGUGCAUACAGGUUGGACUUGUCUGAGGCUUAUGACCGGGUGGAUUGGGACUUCCUAGAGAAGGCCUUAGGCAGAUGGGGUUUCUCUGCAACGUGGAUCAAGUGGAUGAUGGCUUGUGUAAAAUCGGUCACAUAUUCUAUGAAAUUUAAUGGAAAGUUGCUUGAGGUUUUCUCCCCGUCAAGAGGGCUUCGACAAGGUGAUCCGCUGUCCCCAUUUCUAUUUCUUUUUGUCGCUGACGCCUUGUCUGCUCUAAUUACCAGCUCUGUUGAGAGUGGUGAAUUAAGGGGAGUGACCAUUUGUCGAGGUGCUCCGGUGAUAUCCCACUUACUAUUUGCGGAUGAUACAUUAUUGUUCUUUGAGGCUUCGAGCCAGCAAGCUAGCAUUGUCAACGGUUUGUUGAACACUUACAUUUCAGCGAUGGGUCAACUUAUAAACCCCGAAAAGUGUUCCAUCCUCUUCUCUGACAACUACAAUGCGGUGGUGGCGGAUGAGGUAAAAGGCAUUUUGGAAGUUUCCCAACAAGUAUUUGAUCCCAAAUACCUGGGCUUACCGGUGCCAGAAGGAAGAGUUCACAAAGGACAAUUCGAAACACUUCAGGAAAGAUUGAGAGCAAGGUUGAUAGAUUGGAGUGAACAGUUUGUAUCUUUGGGGAACAAGGAAAUCUUGAUUAAGUCUGUUGCACAUGCCAUCCCUACAUAUGUUAUGAGUAUCUUCAGGUUAGCUGCGUCAGUUUGCGAUGACUUGACAAGGAUGAUGAGGCAGUACUGGUGGGGGGUGGAGAAUGGUAAGAGGGAGAUGGCCUGGCUUAGUUGGAAGAAGAUGGUGGUUCCAAAGUCUAUGGGGGGCAUGGGCUUCCAUGACAUGAGAGCUUUCAAUCAUGCCCUGCUUGCUAAGCAGGCAUGGCGUCUGUUGGAUUGCCCAAAUAUCCUGUGUGCACGACUUCUUAGAGCAAAAUAUUACCCCCAUGGUAAUUUGUUGGAUACAGUGUUUCCGACCAGCUCGUCUGCAUUUUGGAAGGGGAUUGUACAUGGUCUUGAGUAG